UACAUAGGGGGCAAGCGUUAUCCGGAAUUAUUGGGUGUAAAGGGUGCGUAGACGGAGAAACAAGUUGGUUGUGAAAUCCCUCGGCUCAACCGAGGAACUGCAACCAAAACUAUUUCCCUUGAGUGUCGGAGAGGAAAGUGGAAUUCCUAGUGUAGCGGUGAAAUGCGUAGAUAUUAGGAGGAACAUCAGUGGCGAAGGCGACUUUCUGGACGAUAACUGACGUUGAGGCACGAAAGUGUGGGGAGCAAACAGG
rnacentral:rRNA from 1 species